CAGGUGGCCAAGAGACAUAUGAAAAAAUUCUCAACAUCACUAAUCAUCAGAGAAAUGCAAAUUACAACCACAAGGUAUCACCUCUCACCUGCCAGAAAGGCUACUCUCAUUUCUUAAAAAAAUAUAUUUU